UACAGAGGGUGCAAGCGUUGUUCGGAAUUACUGGGCGUAAAGCGCGUGUAGGCGGCGGCGUAAGUCGGAUGUGAAAGCCCUCGGCUCAACCGAGGAAGUGCAUCCGAUACUGCGUUGCUUGAGUACCGGAGGGGAUGGCGGAAUUCCCGGUGUAGAGGUGAAAUUCGUAGAUAUCGGGAGGAACACCUGUGGCGAAGGCGGCCAUCUGGACGGUAACUGACGCUGAGACGCGAAAGCGUGGGUAGCAAACAGG
rnacentral:rRNA from 1 species